rnacentral:rRNA from 1 species
GUCCUGGCCGUAAACGAUGGAUACUAGGUGUGGGGGGUAUCGACCCCUUCCGUGCCGGAGUUAACGCAAUAAGUAUCCCGCCUGGGGAGUACGGCCGCAAGGCUGAAACUCAAAGGAAUUGACGGGGACCCGCACAAGCGGUGGAGUAUGUGGUUUAAUUCGACGCAACGCGAAGAACCUUACCAGGGCUUGACAUUGAGUGAAAGACUAAGAGAUUAGUUCCUCAUCUUCGGAUGACACAAAAACAGGUGGUGCAUGGCUGUCGU